rnacentral:lncRNA from 1 species
AACUCUUCUUAGCCAUUGUCCCAACCUUAUAUCAGCUUCUCAUCUCUUCUGAAGCUUCAUAGAACUCUUCUUAAGAUCUUCAAGAGCUUGCCCCUAUUUAUGCACAAGCUCCAUUCUUCUCUUCAGUUCAACACUCCCCCUCAAGCUUGACUUUAGUUGAUCCUAAGUCAAGCUUGGAACCCUGAAGAACUUCCUCAUUAAAAACCUCACCAAGGAAAACCCUUUGGGACAAAACCUUGAUGAGGGAAAAAGAGUAAAGUCUCCAAGGCCUAGGGAUUGGCCAGUGAGUCUUUGUGCCUUACCAACAAUGUAAGGGACACAAAGACUCUGGAUCAUGGCCUCUACAAUCACCCCCACGCCUUGUACUCUCCUUACUGCCUAAUCUUGGUCUCUCCCCCUUCCACCUAACCUCUUGUUAGGUUGAAGUGCUCGGACACACCAGAUCAGCUUCUUCUUGGAGAUACAACUUCUUCUUACUGAGUCUUGGCUGCUUCUUCUUCUUCUAGAGUAACCACCAAGCUCUCUUGGAUCAUGUAAGCUUCAACACUCCCCCUCAAGCUUGAGACUCUCACAGGAACAAGCUUGAAUGGAUUGCUUCAUGAUCCUCACACACACACCAUUGCAGCUUCUCUUCUGAUCUUGCCAUCUUCAUGGAAUGCUUGUGGAAGCUUCAGCUAUCUCUCCAAUCACUUCACACUAGAAGCCGCCUUGAUAGAGUUGCCUUCAUCUUCUCACAGCCAAGAGUACUCUGUCUUAGUUUGAGUACUCUCUUGAAUAGACUCGCCACAGCCUAAGCCCGGAUGGCUCCUUCUUCAGAUGCUUGCAAUGGACUUCUUGGAUCGCUUGGAAGCUCACUCAACUCCCCUCCUCAAGCUUGGAUUGAGUAUAGGUCCAAGCUUGCAAGUGAGCUUCAGUGAGACUUCACACCAGUGGCACAUCACCACUCUUGUAUCAACUCUCCAUUGCUCCACACAAUGGGCAAAGUCUUCCUCUUUCAACUCGGAUGGAUGGUGAACCAAGAACACCUCUUGUGAACCUGAAACAUCACUCAAACUCCAGCAAAGAUAAGACACAAGUGCAUUGGGUCAACCCUUGAUGCAUCAUCAAGUUUGAACACCAAUGUCUUUAAGCAAUGCAACAGAUUAAACUAGACAUUUUCAAGUUCUAAUCUUUGCAAGCAAACUCUCUAAGCACUAGCAUGAUCCUAACAGAUUCACUACAAGCUACUUAGGCAAUUUUUAAAGCUUCUUUACUCAGCAUUUAGACAUGAAUCUAAUGCUUCAAUGUAAGACAGCCAUUUGACAGUAUGCACUAACCUUAAUCAGUUUUAAUUCAUGAAUGCAACAAUACAAUUCAUCACACAUUCAUUUAUAACUUAGGCUAAGCAUUACUAACAUCACUUAACAUCAGACAAUGCAUUACUUUCAAUCUGUUUUCAGUUCAUGAGCUUCAAACAAUAUCAUUUCACAUUUAGCAAACUCAUUACUUAACAGGAGCAAGCAUUUUACUCUUUAAACACUAAACAAGCCUUUAAAGCAUCCUGGGACAGAUUCAACUAAUUAUAUUUAGCAAUCACAUUAUCCUCAGGUUUAACAAUCACUACACAUCACAAUACACAACUCAUCUUAUCAUCUGCUCAUCAUCAAGAAGGUUUUAAGAAUCGUUUACCACAAGGAACCAGAUUGGUUCCUUAACCUUUCAUGAAACCGGCCAUGCUUUGUUGGACUUGAGAGUGUGAGUCGUCACCCACCUCCUUCACCUUCAGUUCAUGGCCUCCAUCUUGUACCAUCAGCUUCAAAGACCCCUCCUUUCUUCAUCUCCACUAGGCGCCAAGCUCUUGACACCAUCUUCUUUGGAACCGGAUGUGUUCUUCUCUUGGACAAGGCGCCUUGGUACAAGGAUAGCUAGGCCUUGUCCAUACACCUCUGCUUCCAAGGAGAAUCACCAUCAGGACAGGAAGAGAACAGGAUGAGGAACCAUGAGAACUCGCCAAGCUUCAGUCUUCUUCUUCAUAAGGAGCUGAACCGGAUGGAGAGAGCUUCAAUGGUUUGGAUUUGAGCUGAGGAGAGAGCAGUUUCCAGUUUCCCAGAUUGGGAAUAGGACAGCUUCUUCGUCAAUCCAAUCAAACCAGGAUGAAUCACUUUGUAAGAAGCUUGAUUUUGAUACAUAAAAUGGUGGAGAAACACCAGGAAGUUGAAUAAAUUAUGAGCUGUGGCUGUGUAUGUGUAUGAGAAGCCAUUAGAGGCAAAGAAUAAGGUCUUGAACUAGUUCAAUAAGAGGUCUGAUGAAACUAGUAUGAACUUGAAUCAGAAACAAAGAGACUUAGAGAAAUUAAGAGAUUAGAGACUAAGAAAGGGGUAGAUUAAGGGAAUCUGAUCAAGAACACACUUUUAUAUUUAUGAAGGAGAUGGGGAAAACCCCCAUACUCUCUUAAGAGUUUACAAUCGACCAUACAUCAGUUUAUAUAUGUUUUCACACUCUGAAACUCAUAAACCUAAAUCUGAUGGCUCUAAAUGACUUUGGGAAAUGGAUGGCUUGGAUGAGUCUUUGGAUCUGGUCAAGGUAGACUGAAUGGUGAUUGGUUCUCCCUUGCUGGCGCCUGAUUGCUUUACUUAAAGCUCCAUGUAUCUUCCCUCUCCUUUGGCCAGAUACAUGAUCUCUUCUUUGCCUUUACUUUACAGCUCACGCCAGCUUGCACAUUUGAAUUUGAACAAGCUGUAUGGAUAAGGUUUCUUAUCCAUAAACGGUCAAGAGAGCUCAGCACCUUCCUGGUUACUUCCUAAGGCAUCUCGGACAGUAUAUGCCUUUAGGAUCUUUGCUCUCUUGCCCACUUGUUCCCCAAACCUUCUUCAUGCCUUGUAUCACAAGUCUUCAUCAGCUGAGUGUACGGAUUAGGGUUGCUUCUCUCACAUUGCGCCCUAUCUUUGCACAACUCCAAAACAUCCCAAGACUUGAUAGAAACUCUUUUGGAUCAGCCAUGUCCUUCCCGGGCCGUACCAUCCGUACAUGGCCGUACAUGGCUGUCCCUAUCUUUGCACCAUCUACCUUUCUCUCCUUAACUCAUCCAAAGACUACUCCACUUCUAUCUGAACUCUUCUUAGCCAUUGUCCCAACCUUAUAUCAGCUUCUCAUCUCUUCUGAAGCUUCAUAGAACUCUUCUUAAGAUCUUCAAGAGCUUGCCCCUAUUUAUGCACAAGCUCCAUUCUUCUCUUCAGUUCAACACUCCCCCUCAAGCUUGACUUUAGUUGAUCCUAAGUCAAGCUUGGAACCCUGAAGAACUUCCUCAUUAAAAACCUCACCAAGGAAAACCCUUUGGGACAAAACCUUGAUGAGGGAAAAAGAGUAAAGUCUCCAAGGCCUAGGGAUUGGCCAGUGAGUCUUUGUGCCUUACCAACAAUGUAAGGGACACAAAGACUCUGGAUCAUGGCCUCUACAAUCACCCCACGCCUUGUACUCUCCUUACUGCCUAAUUUGGUCUCUCCCCCUUUCACCUAACCUCUUGUUAGGUUGAAGUGCUCGGACACACCAGAUCAGCUUCUUCUUGGAGAUACAACUUCUUCUUACUGAGUCUUGGCUGCUUCUUCUUCUUCUAGAGUAACCACCAAGCUCUCUUGGAUCAUGUAAGCUUCAACACUCCCCCUCAAGCUUGAGACUCUCACAGGAACAAGCUUGAAUGGAUUGCUUCAUGAUCCACACACACACCAUUGCAGCUUCUCUUCUGAUCUUGCCAUCUUCAUGGAAUGCUUGUGGAAGCUUCAGCUAUCUCUCCAAUCACUUCACACUAGAAGCCGCCUUGAUAGAGUUGCCUUCAUCUUCUCACAGCCAAGAGUACUCUGUCUUAGUUUGAGUACUCUCUUGAAUAGACUCGCCACAGCCUAAGCCCGGAUGGCUCCUUCUUCAGAUGCUUGCAAUGGACUUCUUGGAUCGCUUGGAAGCUCACUCAACUCCCCUCCUCAAGCUUGGAUUGAGUAUAGGUCCAAGCUUGCAAGUGAGCUUCAGUGAGACUUCACACCAGUGGCGCAUCACCACUCUUGUAUCAACUCUCCAUUGCUCCACACAAUGGGCAAAGUCUUCCUCUUUCAACUCGGAUGGAUGGUGAACCAAGAACACCUCUUGUGAACCUGAAACAUCACUCAAACUCCAGCAAAGAUAAGACACAAGUGCAUUGGGUCAACCCUUGAUGCAUCAUCAAGUUUGAACACCAAUGUCUUUAAGCAAUGCAACAGAUUAAACUAGACAUUUUCAAGUUCUAAUCUUUGCAAGCAAACUCUCUAAGCACUAGCAUGAUCCUAACAGAUUCACUACAAGCUACUUAGGCAAUUUUUAAAGCUUCUUUACUCAGCAUUUAGACAUGAAUCUAAUGCUUCAAUGUAAGACAGCCAUUUGACAGUAUGCACUAACCUUAAUCAGUUUUAAUUCAUGAAUGCAACAAUACAAUUCAUCACACAUUCAUUUAUAACUUAGGCUAAGCAUUACUAUCAUCACUUAACAUCAGACAAUGCAUUACUUUCAAUCUGUUUUCAGUCCAUGAGCUUCAAACAAUAUCAUUUCACAUUUAGCAAACUCAUUACUUAACAGGAGCAAGCAUUUUACUCUUUAAACACUAAACAAGCCUUUAAAGCAUCCUGGGACAGGUUCAACUAAUUAUAUUUAGCAAUCACAUUAUCCUCAGGUUUAACAAUCACUACACAUCACAAUACACAACUCAUCUUAUCAUCUGCUCAUCAUCAAGAAGGUUUUAAGAAUCGUUUACCACAAGGAACCAGAUUGGUUCCUUAACCUUUCAUGAAACCGGCCAUGCUUUGUUGGACUUGAGAGUGUGAGUCGUCACCCACCUCCUUCACCUUCAGUUCAUGGCCUCCAUCUUGUACCAUCAGCUUCAAAGACCCCUCCUUUCUUCAUCUCCACUAGGCGCCAAGCUCUUGACACCAUCUUCUUUGGAACCGGAUGUGUUCUUCUCUUGGACAAGGCGCCUUGGUACAAGGAUAGCUAGGCCUUGUCCAUACACCUCUGCUUCCAAGGAGAAUCACCAUCAGGACAGGAAGAGAACAGGAUGAGGAACCAUGAGAACUCGCCAAGCUUCAGUCUUCUUCUUCAUAAGGAGCUGAACCGGAUGGAGAGAGCUUCAAUGGUUUGGAUUUGAGCUGAGGAGAGAGCAGUGUGUUUGCGGAAGCUUCAGCUCAGGUUCUGAUGAACCUGGCUCUGAUACCAUAUGAGAUUUGAGAGCUCUGGCUGUGUAUGUGUAUGAGAAGCCAUUAGAGGCAAAGAAUAAGGUCUUGAACUAGUUGAAUAAGAGGUCUGAUGAAACUAGUAUGAACUUGAAUCAGAAACAAAGAGACUUAGAGAGAUUAAGAGAUUAGAGACUAAGAAAGGGGUAGAUUAAGGGAAUCUGAUCAAGAACACACUUUUAUAUUUAUGAAGGAGUUGGGGAAAUCCCCCAUACUCUCUUAAGAGUUUACAAUCGACCAUACAUCAGUUUAUAUAUGUUUUCACACUCUGAAACUCAUAAACCUAAAUCUGAUGGCUCUAAAUGACUUUGGGAAAUGGAUGGCUUGGAUGAGUCUUUGGAUCUGGUCAAGGUAGACUGAAUGGUGAUUGGUUCUCCCUUGCUGGCGCCUGAUUGCUUUACUUAAAGCUCCAUGUAUCUUCCCUCUCCUUUGGCCAGAUACAUGAUCUCUUCUUUGCCUUUACUUUACAGCUCACGCCAGCUUGCACAUUUGAAUUUGAACAAGCUGUAUGGAUAAGGUUUCUUAUCCAUAAACGGUCAAGAGAGCUCAGCACCUUCCUGGUUACUUCCUAAGGCAUCUCGGACAGUAUAUGCCUUUAGGAUCUUUGCUCUCUUGCCCACUUGUUCCCCAAACCUUCUUCAUGCCUUGUAUCACAAGUCUUCAUCAGCUGAGUGUACGGAUUAGGGUUGCUUCUCUCACAUUGCGCCCUAUCUUUGCACAACUCCAAAACAUCCCAAGACUUGAUAGAAACUCUUUUGGAUCAGCCAUGUCCUUCCCGGGCCGUACCAUCCGUACAUGGCCGUACAUGGCUGUCCCUAUCUUUGCACCAUCUACCUUUCUCUCCUUAACUCAUCCAAAGACUACUCCACUUCUAUCUGAACUCUUCUUAGCCAUUGUCCCAACCUUAUAUCAGCUUCUCAUCUCUUCUGAAGCUUCAUAGAACUCUUCUUAAGAUCUUCAAGAGCUUGCCCCUAUUUAUGCACAAGCUCCAUUCUUCUCUUCAGUUCAACACAAAUGAAUUCAAGGGAAAAGAGUUCUCUAUUAUUCUCUUUGUCAAUCUCACUCUCUCCCUCACGGUUUAACCUAGUUCUUUUCUAAUCUCUUCACAAAUCC